UCAGUGAUGUUUGUGUGAUUGUGUCUUUUGUGUCAAAACCUCCUCUGAAGAUGAAGCUCUGCUUCUGUGUGCUUUACACAGCUCUGCAAGUCACUGUUGGUUGUGUAAUAUCUGAACCAAAUUAUGAGACCAUCACCAGAUCUCCAGGAGAGUCUGUUCUCCUGCUCUGCUCCUGCACUGACCUGCAGACUAAACCUGAUGAGAUUCAGGGCGGCUGAUAACACGACAGAAUUUUAUAAGUUGACUGGAGCUCUGAAACCAAAAGUAAAGAAGCGUUACAGUGGUAGAGUCCAGACAUUCAGUGACAGUUCUCCAGGAAAUGCAUCCCUGCUUCUAUCUAGCCUGACUGAAGAGGACCAUGGAGAAUACAUGUGUGUGAUUGAAAGCAAUGAACAUAUGAGACUCAGAACAAUCACACUCAAAGGUACACUAAAGGUCAUUCCAGCAUCACAAAACUUCCUAGCAUGCAUUUCUUCAUUUGCUUGGCUGUUUCUGUGCUGUUUGAGAUGGUGGGAGC